rnacentral:rRNA from 1 species
CGUAGGGCGCAAGCGUUGUCCGGAAUUAUUGGGCGUAAAGAGCUCGUAGGUGGUUUGUUACGUCUGCUGUGAAAUCCUAGGGCUUAACCCUGGGCUUGCAGUGGAUACGGGCAGACUAGAGGUAGGUAGGGGAGAAUGGAAUUCCUGGUGUAGCGGUGAAAUGCGCAGAUAUCAGGAGGAACACCGGUGGCGAAGGCGGUUCUCUGGGCCUUACCUGACACUGAGGAGCGAAAGCGUGGGGAGCGAACAGG